GAUGAAGAACGCAGCGAAAUGCGAUAAGUAGUGUGAAUUGCAGAAUUCAGUGAAUCAUCGAAUCUUUGAACGCACAUUGCGCCCCUUGGUAUCCCGAGGGGCAUGCCUGUUCGAGCGUCAUUUCACCACUCAAGCCUGGCUUGGUGUUGGGCGACGUCCUCUUUGGGGACGCGCCUCGAAACGCUCGGCGGCGUGGCACCGGCUUUAAGCGUAGCAGAAUCUUUCGCUUUGGAGGUCGGGGCCCCGUCUGCCGGAAGACCUGCUCGCAAGGUUGACCUCGGAUCAGGCAGGGAUACCCGCUGAACUUAAGCAUAUCAAUAAGCGGAGGA
rnacentral:misc_RNA from 1 species